rnacentral:rRNA from 1 species
UCAAGAAACUUCCACAAUGGGCGAAAGCCUGAUGGAGCGACGUCGCGUGAUGGACGAAGUGCUUCGGCACGUAAACAUCUUUUUAUGUGGGAUGAAAUUAUUGACAGUACCACAUGAAUAAGGGGCUCCUAACUCUGUGCCAGCAGGAGCGGUAAUACAGAGGCCCCAAGCGUUAUCCGGAAUCACUGGGCGUAAAGGGUGUCGAGGCGGUUGUAUUAGUCGUUCGUAAAAUCUACGAGCUUAACUUGUAGGCGGCGAACGAAACGGUACGACUUGAGGUUUGGAGAGGUGCGUGGAACUCACGGUGUAGGGGUGAAAUCCGUUGAUAUCGUGGGGAACACCAAAGGCGAAGGCAGCGCACUGGCCAAAAUCUGACGCUCACACACGAAAGCUAGGGUAGCGAAGAGGAUUAGAUACCCUCGUAGUCCCUGAGCGGGCUGGCAAGGCGCAU